GAUGAACGCUGGCGGCGUGCCUAAUACAUGCAAGUCGAACGCUGGAGAUCUAGCUUGCUAGAUCGAAGGAGUGGCGAACGGGUGAGUAAUACAUAAGCAACCUACCCACGAAGACUGGGAUAAUCUCUGGAAACGGGGACUAAUACCGGAUAGGUAAUCGGAAGGCAUCUUCUGGUUAUUAAAGGUUAAAAACACUGGUGGAUGGGCUUAUGGCGCAUUAGUUAGUUGGUGAGGUAACGGCCCACCAAGACGAUGAUGCGUAGCCGGCCUGAGAGGGGGAACGGCCACAUGGGGACUGAGACACGGCCCAGACUCCUACGGGAGGCAGCAGUAGGGAAUUGUCGGCAAGGGGGGCAACCCUGACCGAGCAACGCCGCGUGAGUGAAGACGGCCUUCGGGUUGUAAAGCUCUGUUGUAAGGGAAGAACGGUAGAUAGAGAAUAUCUAAGUGACGGUACCUUACCAGAAAGCCACGGCUAACUACGUG
rnacentral:rRNA from 1 species